rnacentral:rRNA from 1 species
GCGUGCUAAUACAUGCAAGUCGAGCGGACCGACGGGAGCUUGCUCCCUUAGGUCAGCGGCGGACGGGUGAGUAACACGUGGGUAACCUGCCUGUAAGACUGGGAUAACUCCGGGAAACCGGGGCUAAUACCGGAUGCUUGAUUGAACCGCAUGGUUCAAUCAUAAAAGGUGGCUUUUAGCUACCACUUGCAGAUGGACCCGCGGCGCAUUAGCUAGUUGGUGAGGUAACGGCUCACCAAGGCGACGAUGCGUAGCCGACCUGAGAGGGUGAUCGGCCACACUGGGACUGAGACACGGCCCAGACUCCUACGGGAGGCAGCAGUAGGGAAUCUUCCGCAAUGGACGAAAGUCUGACGGAGCAACGCCGCGUGAGUGAUGAAGGUUUUCGGAUCGUAAAACUCUGUUGUUAGGGAAGAACAAGUACCGUUCGAAUAGGGCGGUACCUUGACGGUACCUAACCAGAAAGCCACGGCUAACUACGUGCCAGCAGCCGCGGUAAUACGUAGGUGGCAAGCGUUGUCCGGAAUUAUUGGGCGUAAAGCGCGCGCAGGCGGUUUCUUAUGUCUGAUGUGAAAGCCCCCGGCUCAACCGGGGAGGGUCAUUGGAAACUGGGGAACUUGAGUGCAGAAGAGGAGAGUGGAAUUCCACGUGUAGCGGUGAAAUGCGUAGAGAUGUGGAGGAACACCAGUGGCGAAGGCGACUCUCUGGUCUGUAACUGACG